rnacentral:rRNA from 1 species
UCUGCGAUUUCCGAAUGGGGAAACCCAACUGCAUAAGCAGUUACUGUUAACUGAAUACAUAGGUUAACAGAGCAAACCGGGGGAACUGAAACAUCUAAGUACCCCGAGGAGAAGAAAUCAACCGAGAUUCCGGUAGUAGCGGCGAGCGAACCUGGAUUAGCCCUUAAGCACUCGGUGAAGUAGGUGAACAAGCUGGAAAGCUUGGCGAUACAGGGUGAUAGCCCCGUAACCGACGCUUCAUCGAGCGUGAAAUCGAGUAGGGCGGGACACGUGAUAUCCUGUCUGAAUAUGGGGGGACCAUCCUCCAAGGCUAAAUACUCCUGACUGACCGAUAGUGAACCAGUACCGUGAGGGAAAGGCGAAAAGAACCCCUGUGAGGGGAGUGAAAUAGAACCUGAAACCGUGUACGUACAAGCAGUAGGAGCACCUUCGUGGUGUGACUGCGUACCUUUUGUAUAAUGGGUCAGCGACUUAUAUUCAGUGGCAAGGUUAACCGUAUAGGGGAGCCGUAGCGAAAGCGAGUCUUAACUGGGCGCUCAGUCUCUGGAUAUAGACCCGAAACCGGGUGAUCUAGCCAUGGGCAGGUUGAAGGUUGAGUAACAUCAACUGGAGGACCGAACCGACUAAUGUUGAAAAAUUAGCGGAUGACUUGUGGCUAGGGGUGAAAGGCCAAUCAAACUCGGAGAUAGCUGGUUCUCCCCGAAAGCUAUUUAGGUAGCGCCUCGGACGAAUACUACUGGGGGUAGAGCACUGUUAAGGCUAGGGGGUCAUCCCGACUUACCAACCCUUUGCAAACUCCGAAUACCAGUAAGUACUAUCCGGGAGACACACGGCGGGUGCUAACGUCCGUCGUGGAGAGGGAAACAACCCAGACCGCCAGCUAAGGUCCCAAAGUAUUGCUAAGUGGGAAACGAUGUGGGAAGGCUCAGACAGCUAGGAUGUUGGCUUAGAAGCAGCCAUCAUUUAAAGAAAGCGUAAUAGCUCACUAGUCGAGUCGGCCUGCGCGGAAGAUGUAACGGGGCUAAGCAAUACACCGAA